CCGAACCGACUAAUGUUGAAAAAUUAGCGGAUGACCUGUGGCUGGGGGUGAAAGGCCAAUCAAACCGGGAGAUAGCUGGUUCUCCCCGAAAGCUAUUUAGGUAGCGCCUCGUGAAUUCAUCUCCGGGGGUAGAGCACUGUUUCGGCUAGGGGGCCAUCCCGGCUUACCAACCCGAUGCAAACUGCGAAUACCGGAGAAUGUUAUCACGGGAGACACACGGCGGGUGCUAACGUCCGUCGUGAAGAGGGAAACAACCCAGACCGCCAGCUAAGGUCCCAAAGUCAUGGUUAAGUGGGAAACGAUGUGGGAAGGCCCAGACAGCCAGGAUGUUGGCUUAGAAGCAGCCAUCAUUUAAAGAAAGCGUAAUAGCUCACUGGUCGAGUCGGCCUGCGCGGAAGAUGUAACGGGGCUAAACCAUGCACCGAAGCUGCGGCAGCGACACU
rnacentral:rRNA from 1 species